rnacentral:rRNA from 1 species
UCAUGAUGAACGCUAGCUACAGGCUUAACACAUGCAAGUCGAGGGGCAGCAUUUCAGUUUGCUUGCAAACUGGAGAUGGCGACCGGCGCACGGGUGAGUAACACGUAUCCAACCUGCCGAUAACUCGGGGAUAGCCUUUCGAAAGAAAGAUUAAUACCCGAUGGUAUAAUCAGACCGCAUGGUCUUGUUAUUAAAGAAUUUCGGUUAUCGAUGGGGAUGCGUUCCAUUAGGCAGUUGGUGAGGUAACGGCUCACCAAACCUUCGAUGGAUAGGGGUUCUGAGAGGAAGGUCCCCCACAUUGGAACUGAGACACGGUCCAAACUCCUACGGGAGGCAGCAGUGAGGAAUAUUGGUCAAUGGGCGCAGGCCUGAACCAGCCAAGUAGCGUGAAGGAUGACUGCCCUAUGGGUUGUAAACUUCUUUUAUAUGGGAAUAAAGUUUUCCACGUGUGGAAUUUUGUAUGUACCAUAUGAAUAAGGAUCGGCUAACUCCGUGCCAGCAGCCGCGGUAAUACGGAGGAUCCGAGCGUUAUCCGGAUUUAUUGGGUUUAAAGGGAGCGUAGGUGGACAGUUAAGUCAGUUGUGAAAGUUUGCGGCUCAACCGUAAAAUUGCAGUUGAUACUGGCUGUCUUGAGUACAGUAGAGGUGGGCGGAAUUCGUGGUGUAGCGGUGAAAUGCUUAGAUAUCACGAAGAACUCCGAUUGCGAAGGCAGCUCACUGGACUGCAACUGACACUGAUGCUCGAAAGUGUGGGUAUCAAACAGGAUUAGAUACCCUGGUAGUCCACACAGUAAACGAUGAAUACUCGCUGUUUGCGAUAUACAGUAAGCGGCCAAGCGAAAGCAUUAAGUAUUCCACCUGGGGAGUACGCCGGCAACGGUGAAACUCAAAGGAAUUGACGGGGGCCCGCACAAGCGGAGGAACAUGUGGUUUAAUUCGAUGAUACGCGAGGAACCUUACCCGGGCUUAAAUUGCAUUUGAAUAUAUUGGAAACAGUAUAGCCGUAAGGCAAAUGUGAAGGUGCUGCAUGGUUGUCGUCAGCUCGUGCCGUGAGGUGUCGGCUUAAGUGCCAUAACGAGCGCAACCCUUAUCUUUAGUUACUAACAGGUCAUGCUGAGGACUCUAGAGAGACUGCCGUCGUAAGAUGUGAGGAAGGUGGGGAUGACGUCAAAUCAGCACGGUCCUUACGUCCGGGGCUACACACGUGUUACAAUGGGGGGUACAGAAGGCAGCUACCUGGUGACAGGAUGCUAAUCCCAAAAGCCUCUCUCAGUUCGGAUCGAAGUCUGCAACCCGACUUCGUGAAGCUGGAUUCGCUAGUAAUCGCGCAUCAGCCAUGGCGCGGUGAAUACGUUCCCGGGCCUUGUACACACCGCCCGUCAAGCCAUGAAAGCCGGGGGUACCAGAAGUACGUAACCGCAAGGAGCGUCCUAGGGUAAAACUG